UCCCAUGUAGUUUAACUAAAACGGUAAGUUGCAAACUUGAGGAGAAGCNUUAAUAGCUUUAUGGGGA
rnacentral:tRNA from 1 species